rnacentral:lncRNA from 1 species
GUGAAUAUUAUCGCUGGUGGCCUUCAGAGGAAGCGCAUGUUAAGAUCUGAGCAGAAAAUACACGAAGAGACAGCAGUCGUACGUUACAGGUUGUUUUCCAAGGGUGGCGUUUUCCAGCAAGCGUUGACUUGUGGUACCAAUAAGAAGCUAAGAUGGGUGUGAAAAAAACCUGAUUGAUGCGAAUAAAACGCAGACAACAACACGGUUGCCCAAACUGAAAAGCUUCUGGGCUUCUUUGUGGAAUUUCCACUGUGCCCUCGUUACAGACCACGUUGGAGAGGCCUGAAGAAGGGCCUGUCACAAAUGAGUUCACCUCAUUGUUUCCACCUGACCAAAAAAAAACACUGAAAGAAGAAAAAAGCAGAAAAAUGCAUGCUUAUUUUUCAAUCAGCCAUAAUGUUUGAAUUCAAGGAGAGAUGGGAAGAGAGCCUAUCAGCAGCACGUCUAAGAGAAUUCCAUUAAAGAGAAAGCACAUCACGUAAUGAGUGCAAACGCCGGUAUCAGAAACGUGUACAACCCAUGGCAUUAAACCAGUUGUGCAUAUUCCAUUUUCCUACUCUCCCUUUUGUGCUUGUCUUGUCCCUGCGUCUGGGGCCCAAAGGGUGCACCACACACCCACACGGCCACGCUGCAUCCUCUCCUGUUCCUGGAAGGCACAGCUCGUGGCACUGCUCCUAAGCAGAGACUGCAGCUCGCUGCCAGCACUGAAAUGAAGGAGGAAGGCUUGCACAGAUGGGCUCCCUCCUCAGCCGGGAAGCAAACAGCCAAGAAGCAGCCAGAAACCUUUUCUUAAAACCCUUCUCAGCUGUUAUCUGCUGUUUGACCCACACUCAGAUCCCCUCUGAGCUACAGGGUCUCUGUGAGGGCUCCAAAAGCAAGUAAAAGGGGCUUGGGGCUUUGUACAAGGGUAAAAGUGUGGACUUUAUGUAGGCGUAACCUCCAUCAGCCUGAAGCACUGCAAAGAGCCCUACCCCCUAUUAUGUGAAUUAGUUGGAGAGUAAACCAGCAGAGCAAGAGUGGUGAAGAUGCAUGAAGUAGAAG